ensembl:lncRNA
GUUCACAAGGAUGAGCGGAGCUUUAUAGAGAGAUGUUUUUAAAGUAAUACAUGACUGCAAGGGGGUGGGGAGCGGGAGGCAAACACGUUAUUGAAAACACCAAAUAAAAUAUAUAUCAAAAAUUCCAACUGUCAGCCAGCAGGUUGGAACAGAAAGAGAACCCCUUUGCCUUUGUCCUAGCGAUGCUGGGUUCAGGGCUGUGUCUGCAGGGCCGCAACCAAACUCCUUGAAUAACAAUUUCUACUCUGGGAGGCUUGGAGAAGAGAGCUGGACUACAAAAAUUCCCUGUUGCAUUCAGAAACCAAAGAACAGUGAAGCAGAUGGAGAGGGAAGACCUAGUGACCGAGGUGGAGGCCGAGGAGGGAGAGAGAGAGGAAGAAGAAAAUAUUCGGAUCCUAUUUACUUGCUCAGAUCUUUUGCAGUUAAUGAGUCCCCACGCAGCUGGACAGCUCCUCUCGGACACUAAGAACUCUAACCCCAAAAUGACCCCAAUUUGACACCGCAAGAUGAAAUUUUACCGCCUGUUAAAACCAUUUCCAGCCUGAGCAAAAGGGGCUGACUAUUGACGGAGGUGUGUGCCGCCUCCUGCGACCCCCAUCUCACGACCGUCUCCCGGCCCUGCCCCACCUACUUUUCCUUUACCCCAAACGUGGCAGAGCAGAUGAGCCUCGAAGUCCCGGAAGGGUUUCGGAGGCUGAGAACGGAGCAUCAGCAAGAUACUAUCCCGGACGAGAAACCAGAAAGCCUGCGUACUCUACUGCUUUUGAGUAGUUUCAAAGGGACUGCAAAACUGGGAGUUAGGGGAGACCAUGAAGUUCUCAAAUGUUCUUCAG